CUAGUUUCAUCUUCAUGUCAGGAGACAUGCUUCAACCACAUGUCUUUUUCUGGAAGAAAUAUUUUACCAGUUGUACUUGCUCAAGGCAGGUCAGCCAUAGAGCAGAAUUGAAGAUAUGGAUACUCCAAAGAAGAGAUAAAGUGUGGACAGGGAAAAAAGGUGGAAGUCAGGAUACCGGGGUGAGACUGUCUGUUGGGAUUCUAAAAACGGCAUGUGCUGAGCGAUGGCAUCAGAUUCUCCGGUUGGCUCUUAAACUGCAGCUACAUCAUACAGAGAGGAGCCAGAAAGAUGAAACCUUCACAGUCAAGCAAGGAGUCCCACAGACACAAUUUCCAUUUUCAAGAAGAUUGGUGGUAUUAAUUCUGCUGCAACAACAGCAUUCUCUACC